UCCCUGGAGUCCACCUGACCCCGGGUA
rnacentral:piRNA from 1 species